UUUGACUCAAAUGUGACUACGGCAGAGAGACUGAGGAAAGCCCCAGGGCCACAUUCCUUAUUCUUGUACCCAAACAUCUUCUCCUUCUGAAGACUGACUGCUCAGUGUUUGCUACGUGCCAGGCACUGUAUUUUACACAUGCCAUCUCAUUGCUCUACCCCACAACCUCAGGAUGUUACUAUUAUUCAAUUUCAUUAUCUCAUUUUACACGUGAGGAAAGUGGGUACAGAGAGGCAGACUGACUAGCCCAAGGUCACACAGCUGGCAAGCAAUAGAGCCAGGACUGGAGCUCACACAGUCUGGACUCUAAAGCCUCACUCUGAUCCACUCUGCCCAGUGUCACUGGGUUUAGACCUGUGGCUUCUGGGCUCCCGUCCCUCUGUGCCAGCUCAAGCCCAUGGGCUUCAUGCUCACUACUCUCCCAGGAGCUCUGUCUUCAGGAGGCACCAAUGGGAAGCUAUCAACCACGUCCUGAGACCUCUGUUCCCUCAAUCUACAUCAUAGCCAGAACUGGCCCAAGAACAGCAAUAAAAUGGCACAACUGAGAGCCGUAAUAGCUCAUCCUGGUGGUUUUCACAGCGAGCACAAGUCUGUCCCGUGUGGCGGUGUGGAGGCCUGGAGGGCUGCUUUAUGGAGGGACACGUUGGGGCAGCUUGCAGCCAUUCUCAGCAAGGACAGUUUGGUGACUGCUUUGCUUUGAAAUACACUCUUUGGGUCCACAAAUCAAAUCUUCCCAUGUUCCUUGUCUGGAAAAAGUUGUGGGGAUUUCCUAAAGUGUACUCAGAAUUCAAUUGGUGAGGAAGGCAUUCAUUGUUUCCCCAACUGACAGCAAGAAGCCAAGCCCCAGUCAGGCCCUCUGCAAAUCUGAAAAUCCAAGGUAGGGUCAGGAAGCUGUUGACUUGCCCUGCUGGGCUGGUGAAAGCAGACACGAAGUAGCAAGGCUGGUCUGUACAACAAGAGGCCUGAGCGCAACAGAGGCACUGCCGGCUGACAGAGUUCAGGCAGCAGGACAUUGGGGUGGAGGCAAGUGUGGGUUCCCUGCCAGACCACCACACUGUCAACUAGAUUUCAAAGCAAGGGUAACUCUGGUCAGGCAGCAGGACGUCGGGGUGGAGGCAAGAGCGGGUUCCCUGCCAGACCGCCAUACUGUCAACCAGAUUUCAAAGGAAGGGUAACUCUGGGUAGGAACAAGCAACAGAGUGGCCUUGGGGAAUAGCACGUUAGAAUCAAUUCUGCUAAAUCAAAGUUAGAUCCAGGAAAAAAGAAUUGAAGGAAGAUGAGUUCUCAUAUUCCCUGAUGGCUGCGUGGUGGCAGGAGCGGUGAUGAUUAGAGCAGAAAGAAAAGAAAAAAUAAAAUGAUGAUACUAAACACAUAUAUUGUUUAUUUUCUCCCAGGCAAAGUUCUAAGUAUUUUAUGUUCGUUAACUCAUUCAAUUCCAGCAACCACCCCAUGAGGAAGAAAUUAUUAUCGUGCCUAUUUUACAUCCAGCUGGAAAAUUACGUGAUGCUUGAAGUGACAUCAUUCAGCUACGACACCAAGCCAGUGGCUGCUCUGAGAAAUCUGGGUUAGACAAUGACAGCAUGGAUGUGAAUGCCACUAGGCAAUGAAUCCCACCCUUUUUAUUAGCAAAUGGCUGUUUUUAUCACCAUGACAUUUUAAAAAUGAAACUGUGACAGCUACAUUGUCUGAGGCCAUUGAUCACCCAACAUCUCUUAUCUCCAAAAGGAAGCCCACUGGCCAGAGGUGUCCUGUUUCAAAGCAGGGAAGACAAGAAUGGAGGUAAAGGAGAGCUCAUUUUAAACCACUAGUUCCAAAGGGAAAGACCAGGGCCCAGGACUGAGGUACUGGGGUCUUCCAGGGGAUAGACAGUCUUCCCUCUAUCUCUAUCAAUUGUUUCUAAAGUGAGCUCAAGUAGCAGUAGUGAUAAUACCUUAAGUAGUAAUGACAGUAUCUACAAUAAUACUCUUUGCUAUAGACACAGAUACUGUAUCAUAAACCCUAGGCAAAACCCCAGGAUGCUUAUUAGGUAAACAUAACAUCACGAGGAGGCCCAGACAUUCCUCCACCUUUUUGACCUUUAAGUUGAACUACAUAAAAUGCAAUAAGUGACCCUUUCCAACUUCAAAAAAUGGGCAAUUUCAUAUGGCUCAUCCUAAUAGACUGGCCCCUCCCCCAAGAUCCUUCUCUGCAGAUGUGUUAGGAACUGCCAAAAGAUCUAGGGAAAUGUCCAUACUUCUCAAGCAACAGAGAAUUAGAAACACUGCUGCACCUCAUCAUAUAAAAGUGCAGAGGAUGGCCCUGGGGCAAAAGACGUCCUGCUGUCCUCCGAAAGAGCUGGACCCUCGACCAGUGGGCCCUCUGUCCUUUGCCCACUCAGUGUGAAGCCAGGUGCAAUAGGUUAAAAGCACAUCCUCAAGUCAACAGCAAAGGCAGAGGCGUGCCCACAGCAGGGAGACUGGAGUAGCAUUAGGUCCCACCCUUGAGGGAGCCCAAGAAGAUCCGCGGUUGAUGUGCUGCGUGCUGCAAGGCUGCCCGAGACCCAGUCCUCGCUCGGAAGCCAGAGGACAAGGAAGCUGGGGUCCUACCCGGGUAGCAAGGUUUCAGAUGACCAGUCUGCCACAGGUGCUGGAUGCUUCUGCACUGGAGUGCAGGGCCCAGGGUAAGAGAGAGUACCCUGCUUCAGAGCCACUCUCCACAGGUGAAGAGGCAUGGCCUAGUCGGUUCACAAUCUGCCAGGGAGGGCUCUGGGAAGGAGAACCGGCUGCUUCUAAUGCAGGACUAGAGGUGAGGAGGAAAGGUGAGAAUGGACGGAGGGCUGCCAGGGAGAAAACUAGUUAAGGGGAAGAAGUGUCCAUCUAGGCAGGGACCCGCGAUUCAAACGCCUGCAUAGCUCUGGCUCACAGCAGUCUUGCCGCAACCGAAAUGGGGGAGACAGUCUGGGGAGUAUGGAUGUGCUAGCGCUGAACCUUGGGAAGGAGUGGGGCUGGUUCUGGAAUCCCCAGACACUCGAUCCAGAAGGGCUCUUAGAGGCCCCACCCCCUCCCAUUCUCAGAUGAGAAAGCAAGACCCAGCGAGCUGCAGCCUUCAUCCAUGGGGUGGGAGCUGCUGUGUGCCAUGGCGGACUCAUGACAGCCGUUUAAGUCUGCAAGGUAUUUCCUUCAAAGCUCUUUUACAAAGGCCCAGUCACCUCAGAACCAACAGACACCCCUUGCCUGAAACUGGUGACUCACCCCAAGCUAGAGGCUUGUGGGGAUCUAGGGCAGACAUCAGCGUAUGCCACCCUGUGUAGUUACAUUCACACAGGCUUUUGAGAUGGACGUCACACACGUCACAGCAGUUGACUGCGAUGCCUUCUCUCUGGGAAUACUUGGCCUUUACUUCUGCUGACAAAUGGCUACCCUUAAGUUUCAGCCUCAUCGUUCCUUUUCUUUGUUUUGGUGGUUGGUUGACCAGUUUCAUGUGAGAGGAAAAUAACAACAAACAAAGAAAAGAAAACAUUUCAUACUAUUUUCUAAGUAUAAAAGCUGUCAUCUUUUCACAGUUGUAUAACCAUAAUGGUUUACCUAAUUGUUUUCAAAUUUUCUCAUUCUUUUUUUUUUUUUUUUUUUUUUUAAGGCUCCAAAAAUUCACCUUUGGGUUGAACACAUCUGUGUGAAAAAAGCCUGGCGGAAAGAAAAACUGGAUUAUGCUGACGCUCAAUGCGCGUAACCUUAACUACAGCAUGUUUGCUUCUGCAAACACUACAGUAUAUGAAAUUAAAUAUUAAUAGCCAUCACCUCACCCCUUCGGAGAACAGGCCUGAGUCACAGCUCCUGUGUGGCGUGAUUUCCAUUCACGGACUCACUGUGAACGCUGCUCACGUUACGAAGCCUCAAACCAGGCAAAACCAAAGCAAGUGUGUGUUUUUAUUCCAUAAUGUCAUGGGGAACAUUGCUUAUUUUGGAGGCCAAGUUCAGUUCUCCUGAAUUUACCACCUAUGACACAUUUUAAGACUAAUCACCUCAAAACAUACUAGGAGAAAUGACAAAGUUAUUUUUAAGUUAGAAAGGAAAAUAUUGGAAUAAGAUGAACAUGUCUGUUAUUUAUCAGUGACGAGAUUUGCAGCACUCGGCUGAACUCUUCUGACAUUUGAAAGCACCAACAUAUUUGUAUUGGUGAAUAUAUUUCCAGUGCCCCUUAUCUGUGCAUUGCAAAUGGACAUAAUUAGAUUUUUAAACUUUGCAUGGGUGGUGUCAAGUAUGCCAAAGAUAUUUAGCUUCCUGGGGGUUUAUGGGAGGUCUGGUUUCCCCUCUCUACCUCUGCAUGGUCACUGUCUUCUUGAUAAGCUUUAGACUCUCAGCAGCCUAAACCAUUUGACGGUUUUGUGUAUGAUGAUUACAAAGCAGAGUUAAAGGAAAGAAUGAAAGUCAAGCAGCCAGCCCAGUACCUGGCACGCAGCAAACAUCCCACAAAUGUUAGCUCCCUUUUCCCUUCCCCACUUCUUAUACUCUUAGAGGGAUAAGUGCUUUCAAGUCAGUGUUCAGAAUUGAUUCUUCAAAUCCCCCAGGAGAUAGUGUAAAGUGAACAUUCCGCUUUUAUUGGUGAGGGGCCAACAAGGGGAGGAUGGAGGAUUUACUCUGUGGGAUGGGAUCCUGGCACAGUCAGAGACUGGACCAAAGCUCUCUCUGCCACAGCUUAACAGCAGGGCUCCUGGGCUAAAUCGCUUCUUUCGGUGGCCUGCCACACCAAGGUGUGUUUUUAAAAUCUGCGCAAUAAAAUUUAGUGUGGUUGGAGAGGUGGCAGCGGAUGGGAACCCACCCACAGGCAACUGACGUCAAAAAACCAGAGGGAAACAUUAGGCUUCUCUGUUCUCGAGAAGCUUCUGCUCUGUUAAGCAACCUGAGAAGGAAGCUGACUUUCCAUUAAAAAACGGCCACUUUGGCAGUUGUCAGAGACAGCCUGGUGUCUUAUACUUCCCCUCUCAGGAAAAGUGAGGAAAAUAAUUUCCAUAAGUUGGAAAGGAAGAAACCAGCAGUUCAAAGAAUAGAGCUGGAAAGGAAUUUGAAGGGCACUUAGAGUAACCUCCACCUCCAGAGAGCAAAUGAGGAAAGAGGCCCAGCGAAGACUGGGGACUAAUCUUGCCCUUAAAUUUGCAGGGUAGCCCACCCUGUAGGCCACGCUGCCUUCACAAAGCUAGCUAGCUGCCUGCACCUUGGUCAGCUGUUGAGAGGGACAUGCCUCGAAUUCUAGUCUGAAGAGGGGUUGCUGCAAGGGAGGCUCCCAGAUGCCUGGAAGGAGAACUGCACUCUAAUGUUGAUACCCCGAGGCUGGAGAUGUUGCUUUGGAAGAGGCUCUGGGGAAGACUGGUGUGGGGGAGGGUGUGCAUGUGUGUGCACACAUGCAUGUGUGUAAAGGGGCAAAAAAACAGGCAGCCCUUUCCUCCUUACACCUUUCCCCGCGGAAAACAACCUGAUGCAUGACUCUGUGUCCUGAUGCUUGACUCUGUGCCCAGCCAGCCUUCUCCUGGCUGGUCUCUGAGGCCAACACUGUGUACACACAGAAGACGGCUCUCCUUGAAACAUGGCAGCUGCACUUGAUCUGGACACCAGCCUCUGGGUCUCUCAGUUCUUCAGUUUUCUCCUUUCUAGAGAAGCCCGAGAAGCAGCAUGCCAAAAUCAAAGAGCAGAGUUGUUCACAUGCUCCACACAUGCCUGCAGGUGUGGGUCUUCCCUGUGUCUGCAGGAAACCAAUGUGUCUGAUUUUAAAAUACGGUGAUGUCACUCAUAAGACUGUACUUUCCUUAGGAAAUUAGUAAUGUCCUUAUUUCUAGGGGCCCUUCAUAUCCAUCUUUCCUCUCUUUUUCAUUGAAUCUCAACAGCUUUGUGAGGGUGGUGGCCUUUUGUUCCCUUCGGGUGAGAAACAAAGGCUCAGAAAGAGGAAAAUUCCGACCUGGAACAGCAAGCCAGUGAUGCAGCAGAGCCAAAACUCGGGCCCACCUCUCCUUUCUAGUAUCAGCUGGAUGUACACAUGGGGGGAACAGCUCUGUGUCUGUGGGUCACCAGGUGAUUCCAUUCAGGGAACACACACCUAAGUCCAAGACUGGGUUGGGCAAACAGGACAUAGAAGGUGGACAGUGCUGCUGCACCAUUCAUUGAUUCAGCAAAUAUUAACUGAGAGCCUACAUUGCCAUGCUCUGUCCUGGGGGCUUGGGAUACAUUAGCAAACCAAACUGAUGUGGACUGGGGUCCUUAGGGAGGUCACAGUGUAGCAGGAAGAGACAUUCAAUAAACAAAAAUAUUUUUUAAGUUUUUAGAGACAAGGUCUCACUCUGUUACCCAGAUUGGAGUGCAGUGGCACAAUCGUAGUUUACUGUAACCUUGAACUCCUGGGCUCAAGCAAUCCUCCUACCUCAGCAUCCUGAGUAGCUGGGACUGAGUAGCUGAGACCUGGUUAAUUUUAUUAAAAUCUAUAUUUAUAGAGAGGGGGUCUGUUUUUUUAUUAUUAUUAUUAUUAUUAUUAUUAUUUCAGACAGGGUCUCACUCUGUCACACAGGCCGGAGUACAGUGGCUCACUGCUGCCUUGACCUCCUUGGCUCAGGCAAUCUUCCCGCGUCAGCCUCCUGAGUAGCUGGGACUACAGGCAUGCAUCACCACACCCAGUUAAUUUUUACAUUUUUUUUUUUUUGUAGAGACAGAGUCUCGCUAUGUUGCCCAGGCUGGUCUCGAUCUCCUGGGCUCAAGUGAUCCAUCCACCUCGGCCUCCCAAACUGCUGGAAUUACAGGUGUGAGCUACUGUGCCCAGCCAGAGACAGGGUCUCACUAUAUUGACCAGACUGGUCUUGAACUCCUGGGCUUAAGUGAUCCUGCCACCUCAGCCUCCCAAAGUGUUGGGAUUAUAGGUGUGAGCUACCAUGCCCAACCAAUAAACAAAAUUCUUUACUUUUUUAUUCUUUAUUAAGUUAUUCGUUUCUUUCCCUGUCUUGAUUCCC
rnacentral:lncRNA from 1 species